UCCUUAUCUCUCUCUCUCUCUCUCUCUUCACCAUCGACGCGCACGAACUGAUCCCAGAUUCGUUUUUCUGAUCGGAGAGCUGCCAUGGAACGCAUCAUCGGCGGCAAGUACAAGCUCGGACGAAAGAUCGGCGGCGGCUCCUUCGGAGAGAUUUAUCUAGCUACACACGUCGAUACGUUCGAGAUCGUGGCGGUUAAGAUCGAGAAUAGCAAGACGAAGCAUCCUCAGCUUCUCUACGAAGCUAAGCUUUACAGAGUUCUCGAAGGAGGAAGUGGGAUACCGCGGAUAAAGUGGUUUGGUGUUGAUGGAACGGAGAAUGCUUUGGUGAUGGAUUUGCUAGGGCCGAGUCUUGAGGAUCUCUUUGUUUAUUGUGGGAGGAAGUUUUCUCCCAAGACUGUUUUGCUCUUAGCUGACCAAAUGCUGACGAGGAUAGAGUAUGUACACUCCAAGGGGUAUCUGCAUAGAGAUAUCAAGCCUGAUAACUUCCUCAUGGGCCUAGGGAGGAAAGCUAAUCAGGUUUAUCUAAUUGACUUUGGACUUGCCAAAAGGUAUCGUGAUGCCAACACCAACCGCCACAUCCCUUACAGGGAGAACAAGAAUUUAACAGGAACCGCACGGUAUGCAAGUUGCAAUACGCAUCUCGGAAUUGAGCAGAGUAGACGGGAUGACCUAGAAUCUCUUGGAUAUGUGCUUCUGUAUUUCCUUAGAGGAAGUCUUCCAUGGCAGGGUCUCAAGGCUGUUGACAAGAAGCAAAAGUAUGACAAAAUUUGUGAGAAGAAGAUAUCAACUCCUAUUGAGGUUCUAUGCAAAGGCCACCCUGUGGAGUUUGCUUCAUAUUUUCAUUACUGCCACACGCUGACAUUUGAUCAGCGCCCUGAUUAUGGAUUCUUGAAGCGCCUCUUUCGUGAUUUAUUCUCACGGGAAGGAUAUGAAAUGGACUAUAUAUUUGACUGGACUAUAAUAAAGUAUCAACAAGCACAGAAAACUAGAAAUCAGUCUCAGGCAGUUCCUGGACCUAGCAAUACUCGUGCAACACCAAUGGACACAAGCAAUCAUCGAGGAGGACCAAAUAUUUCUUAUGAAGCCGACGUCUCUGAGCGUGUGAGAUCCGGUAAGGCCAUCGGUGCAAGCCCACAGAUUAAUAAUAAUACUGCUACAGAGAGGACUCUGGGUUUUAAUCAGCCCGUCCACAACAAUGUGAACAUGCCAUCGACUUCACUGUCACCUGCGGGUACCUCAAAAAGAAAUGUCGGAAAGUCUGGGUUCCCUCCGGAAUCCUCAAGUGCUGGGUAUGAGAGUGGGAAAAGAACUGGCGGCUGGACUUCAUCAUUCAUGUCUCCAGAUAAAUGAUGCAAAGAAAACAACAUUAUCUGAGACGGUGAGCAGCUAUUAAUGUGAGUCAUGCCCUUGGAAGAUUAAAAAAAGGUGUUAGUGACACCAAGUUCUGAUUUCUGCUGUAUAUUAUCUGAGAUGUGUGUGGACAGACAGGCAGCUAUAGAAGAUGGUGUUUUUCCAUGAACACAUUCGUGUUACACACACAAAGACAUGAAGUAAAUCCAGAGCCAAGCAUUUGUGCUGUGGGAGAUGGUCUUCAAAGGCUUCGGAAAGAGCACACCUUUCUCCUUUUUAAAUGACAGAGGUUGAUGUUGAGACACUCAAAGAAAAACUAAUAUGUCAAAGAGAGCUCAUGAAGGCAGGAGCAGAGGAGGCUGCGCGGAGACAUAGUAGUAACUUUAAGGUUAUUGGUUUAUGUAAUAAUUGAAAAAGAGUGAAAUGCAAAUCCAAGUCAUCACCCAGUCAUGAAAAUGGCAAAUUUUGACUCUCUACAGGGGAAUUAUAUGCAGCUGGUGGUCAUUGACUUUAUAUACUUCCGGCGAGUGCAAGAAACCAUUUAUUUAUUCAUUUUGAAUAUAACUUUUUCUUGAUCUGGUUUGCGUUGUACAUGGAAAUUUUCCAUAUAUACAAAUAAAGUUUGCUCAAUAUCAUCA